rnacentral:rRNA from 1 species
UACGAAGGGGGCGAGCGUUGUUCGGAAUUACUGGGCGUAAAGGGCGCGCAGGCGGUAGGAGAAGUCAGGCGUGAAAGCCCCGGGCUCAACCUGGGAAUUGCGUUUGAUACUCUCCAACUGGAGUUCGGGAGAGGAGAGUGGAAUUCCCAGUAUAGAGGUGAAAUUCGUAGAUAUUGGGAAGAACACCGGUGGCGAAGGCGGCUCUCUGGACCGAGACUGACGCUGAGGCGCGAAAGCGUGGGGAGCAAACAGG